CCUACGGGUGGCAGCAGUGGGGAAUAUUGCACAAUGGGGGAAACCCUGAUGCAGCGACGCCGCGUGAGUGAAGAAGCAUUUCGGUGUGUAAAGCUCUAUCAGCAGGGAAGAAAAUGAAGGUACCUGAGCAAAAAGGCCCGGCCAAACUCGUGCCAGCAGCCGCGGUAAUACGUAGGGGGCCAGCGUUAUCCGGAUUUACUGGGUGUAAAGGGAGCGUAGACGGGCGUGUAAGUCCGGAGUGAAAGGCGGGGGCUCAACCCGCGGACUGGUGUGGAAACUGUACGGCUUGAGUGUGGGAGAGGUAAGCGGAAUUCCUGGUGUAGCGGUGAAAUGCGUAGAUAUUAGGAGGAACACCGGUGGCGAAGGCGGCUUACUGGACUAUAACUGACGUUGAGGCUCGAAAGCGUGGGGAGCAAACAGGAUUAGAUACCCUGGUAGUC
rnacentral:rRNA from 1 species